rnacentral:rRNA from 1 species
GAUGAACGCUGGCGGCGUGCCUAAUACAUGCAAGUCGAGCGAACAGACGAGGAGCUUGCUCCUCUGACGUUAGCGGCGGACGGGUGAGUAACACGUGGAUAACCUACCUAUAAGACUGGGAUAACUUCGGGAAACCGGAGCUAAUACCGGAUAAUAUAUUGAACCGCAUGGUUCAAUAGUGAAAGACGGUUUUGCUGUCACUUAUAGAUGGAUCCGCGCCGCAUUAGCUAGUUGGUAAGGUAACGGCUUACCAAGGCAACGAUGCGUAGCCGACCUGAGAGGGUGACCGCCCCCAUUGAACUGAGGACCGGGCCCAGAUCCCUAGGGAAGGCAGCAUUAGGGAACCUUCGCCAAUGGGCGAAAGCUUGCCGGAGAACCGCCGGGUGAGUGAUGAAGGUCUCCGGUCCGAAAACCUUUGUUAUUAGGGAAAAACAAAGGUGAAAGUAACUAUGCCCGUCUGGAGGUUACCUAUCAGAAAGCCACGGCUAACUACGUG